CUGCGGUGGGCCAGGCCCUGAGGCUGCCCAGGCUCCUCUGGAGGAAGGCAGGACGUAGCCACGUCUGCAGGGCUUGGCAGAGAGGUGGAAGUGGUCCAUCUGUUGGGAAGGCAUGGGGCUGGCUUGGAGGGUGCUUGUAGGAAAGAUCAAGCCAGUGGAGUCGAAACGUACCCGAGUGUGAAUCCUGGUGCUGCCACUUGCUCACUGUGUGUCUCUAGGCCACACUGAAUCACUCUGACACCCAGCCUCUCUGCAGGGCUCAGACCUAGGCACCAAAGGGGCUAUGAAGAAACGAGAGUCGGUUUCCCUGCUCAUCGAUGCCUUGGAAGCUGCCUGGGCAGGCUGGGCCCAACAGGAAGGACUUGGAGAGCUGCAGAGGCUGGGAUCAUGUGGCAGAUUUGGCCCCAGUGGAAUGGCUCAGUGAGAGAAGCCAGGUCAUGACUCGGUGUCCAAAUAUGAUUCUCAGUCCAGGACUCAGACACCCCUGAGCAUCACGCCUGACCUCAGCCUCAUGGAAGUGACCUCAGCCUCAUGGAAGUGCCCACUCUGGGGAAAGCAUACAAGGAGCACUUACUCGGUCCUCUGUGGAUGGGAAGCAGGCCAGACCCUGGCCAUGGAACAACAAGCUUCUGAGAAACAGGAGUUCUGCUAAGAGUCCUACAGCUGUUGGGAUAUGGGCAAUCCCUCAAGAUUGGCCUCCUCUGACCCCUGUUGUUGAACCACCUUUUACCCAUCCAAUUUUAAACUAAUUGGUUUAAAAUUGUUAAUAUUCAGUGUUGGGGAGGGAGUGAAGAAAUGGGUAUGCAUUACUGAUAAGAACAUAAAUCUCCCUGGAAAGCAAUUUGAAGCCACAUACCAAAACUCUUUGAAAUGGCCAUGCCCUUAUAGAUUUAUUCUAAGGAAAUAAUCAGAUGCAUCCCAAUGAUUUAUGUAUAGGAAUGUUUCACGACAGCAUUAUCUGUCAAAGGGGAAGAGUAGAAACAAUCUAAAUUUAAACACAGGGGAUUGGCUGAAUAAUUAUAGCAAUAUAAAUAGCAUAAAUAUAUAUAUUUCGAAUUUUAUGCACUAAUAUGCACAUAUAUGCCUGGAAGAAUAAAUUACAUAUUAAUUGUGGUUAUAUCUAGGGGGUGUGAUAAUAGUUGAUUUUAAUUUUCUUCUUUGUGCUCUUGUGAAUGUCUCCCAUUUUCUUCCAUGAACAUGUAACACAAUCUGUAAAAGCAAGACAUGUGGUCUUGAAAAAAGAUGAGCAUAUCCAAGGCUGGCUGUCAAAAUGCAGUUUGAGUAUAAAUUGUUUGACUAUUUGAAAAAGCCUGGAGAUCUCACUUAAACCAACAAAUAAUUAUGCUUUAUGGAGUGCGCAAAACCAAAUCAGAAUUCUGAAAUUUGCUGUCAAUUCUCUGCACUCAUCUGUCACUGGCUCCAACUCCAAGUGGGCACAGGUGAAAAAUAAAACCACAGACGUGCUCCAUACUUUACGUUUACCACCCAUCUCCCCACAGGUUCCUUCAUUUCACCUUCCAAAGUACCCUGUGAAGAAGGCAGAGCAGGUGUCAGGAUUCAGCCUAUUUUAAUGCAGGAAGAAAUGAAGGUCCUGAAAGGUUAAAUGUCUCAUUCAUCUUGUCCCCCUAGUGAGCAGCAUGGCUGGGACUUUAACAUCGGGUUUUCCAACCCCAAAUCCCAACUCUUUUAGUUGUACCAUGUUGUUUCUUCUCAUACAAAGUACUGUGGAUGGGCAGAAGCUUCUGUGAGUCAAUACAAAGAACUGCUAGGUCUGAGUACUAAUAAAAAGAUGUAGGUUAAGUCAGUAGACUUGCGCCCAUCUGAAGGUGGUCUCUAGUUUUCUGCCUCAGGGCUCUAUCAUGAUGCUGUUCUGUUCAACAGAACUAAGGAGAACAAUAGGUUCACGUUCAAAAACUCUUUCUCACCUAAACACACAGAUGGGCAGCUUCUAAUAAAGUUGGAGCUUUGUAGGAAUAUAAGUGAAGUCUUACGAUAUUCAUUUAUUCAUUAAUAGCUUUGUAUUUAUCUGUGUGGUUGCUUGUUUAACAUCUCUUCCCCUACUAGGCUGUAAGUUCCAUGAGGACAGGGUGUGUGUUGUUCAUGACUAUAUUCCCAGUGCCUCUCAAGUGCUUUGCAUACAGUGGGUGCACCAUAACUAUUUGCUGAAUGAAUGAAUGAAUGUUGAUUUGACAUCUUCACAACCCUUCUCACCUCAGCCUGUUAUGGAAGAAAUUGAGGAUAUUUUGGUGUGAGCUCCCCAGCUUUCUUUGCCUACCCCAUCCACUUUGCCUACCCCAUCCACCCUCUGACACACACACAACACAACACACAACAUACCACACAAACUCACCCAUCCUUAACCACUUGGAGCCAGCUGCAGAGAAUAAGGGGCUCUUCCUCCUUCUCAGGACCCUUUCUCUCUCAGGACUUAGUGAUCCUUUUCUCUUUUUUCCAGCAAGCUCCAUUGGUUUUUAAACUCACCCUUGUCUCUCCUAUGAGAAAAACAAAGCCAAACAAACCCAGAACCCCAGCUGGCCCCACGUCUCCCCUUAUCAUUUUAAUGUCCUAUAAGAGGUGACCAGACACCCUUCUCUACUUGCUCACCUCCAAUUCUUGCCUCAGCCCCCUGAAUUGAGGGUCGGGGGUGGGGGAAGGUGGAAGGGCCUUCCACAGUGAACUCUGCAUACUCCAGGGUAGCAUCUGAGAGCUGAAGCCAGGAGACACUGUGCCGCCCUGAUCUUUCUGGGCCUUUACCCUGCUGACACCACUCCUGGAGCCUCUGACCCCAAUAUCUGCUCAAUCUACUCCCAGCUCUCCUGGGACCUCAGUGAUGGUCCCUCCAUGUAAGCCUCUUCCUCUGCCUGCCCUGGGUCUCUCCCAAGACUCCCUCGCUAACCACUGCCCUCCCCACUGAAACUGCCUCUCCCUGAGUGAUCUCACACCCUCCUGGAGGGUUAACUAGCAUAUAGUAGCGCUUAACUCCUAAAUCCAUCAGGAGUUUCUUUCCAAAAACUGCUGACUUCUUGGACAUUCUGCACAUUCCUUUGCCUUAUUGCUUCCUCCUACCCCCACUCCCCCACAUUUAAUAAAAUAUUAACUCCUGCUGAUUUCACUCCUAUGUGACUCAACCCUAGUCUCUCCCCUACAUCCCAUUCCCAUGGCCAUUAUCCUAGCUCACGUCUCAUCAUCUCUUAUCUGGACCAAGGCAAUGUUUUCCUAAGUGGGCUCCCAGCCUCCAGUCUUGCAUCCUUGCAAUCCAUUCUCCCUUCAGCAGCCAGAGUGAUCUUUUGAAAUGUCUAAUUGUGUCACCUCCUUGCUUCUAAGAGCCCUUCAGUGGCUCUCCAUUGUCUACAGGACAAUGUUCAGAUCCUUAAUAUUCAUACAGGUCUGUCUGCUGUAGAGCCUUCCUUGCCUUCUGAUACUAUUCCCAGAGACUGAAUCACAUGCAGCUUUCCACCACUCUAUGUGGGCCUUGGCCUCCAGUCUUUGCUCAGUCUUUCCUCUUUCUGUCUGGAAUCCCUUCCUCUCCACUUCUUCAUCCUUCCCUUAGUUCACUGACCCUCUUCCUGUAAGACUCAGCCACAGUGGUGCCACCUCCAGGAAGCAGGGCCUGUAAGGGAGUUAUCAUCCACAACCCUCUACCAUACUGGAUUAUAAGGAUAAUCCAUCAUCUACGAGCAUUUAAAAUGUGCCACAUAGUUUACCUGCAUUCUCCUGUUAUGUCCUUUUAACAGUAACUCUGUAAGGUAAGUUCUAUUGUUAGUCUCAUUUUAUAAACAUGGAAGCUGAGGCUUAGAGAGGUUCAGUGACUGGCCCGAGGUCACAAAGGGUGUAACCAAUGGAGCUGGACCCGAAUCCAGGUUGAUCGUCAGCAGGGCCUGCCACACUGACUCUCUUGAUUUUUUUUUUCUUUUUUUUCUUUUUUUUUGUGACGGAGUCUCGCUCUGUAACCCAGGUUGGAGUGCAGUGGCACGAUCUCGGCUCACUGCAAGCUCCGCCUCCCAGGUUCACGCCAUUCUCCUGCCUCAGCCUCCUGAGUAGCUGGGACUACAGGCGCCUGCCACCACGCUAGGCUAAUUUUUUGUAUUUUUAGUAGAGACGAGGUUUCACCGUGUUAGCCUCGGUGAAGGAUGGUCUCGAUCUCCUGACCUCGUGAUCUGCCCGCCUCGGCCUCCCAGAGUGCUGGGAUUAGAGGCAUGAGCCACCGCGCCUGGCCAGUGAUUUGUUUUUGAGCUUCCUUCUGCCUUGGGAAGGCCUAGCCACCUUCUUUUCAUCCUUUAGGUCUUUACUUCCUCUAGGAGGCCUUCCCUAACCCAUUCACCUUAAGUCUGGCUUGGAUGCCCUUCCAUUUCACUCCCAUGGUCCCGUGUCAACCCCUUCACAGCCUUGGUCACUGUGUUUUGACUACUGGUCUAGCCCCAAGCUGGGCUGGGGGCUCCAGGAGGUCUCAGGGAGAGGCUGCCUGUGCUCAUGAGUGAAUCCCCACUGCCUGGCACUGUGCUAGUAAUUCCUGAUCAGAUUACUACAUGCUUCCCUUCUUUUUCCCACCAGAGGCUGAGCCCCAGUCUAAUAACUCUUUCUAAUAACUUCUACAUAUAAAGGUGGGUUGGGGUGGACUGCUAUCAAAACUGACAAAAGUCCGGAAAUCAGUUUGGUAAACUGGCAAAGGAGUCCCAUUUCCAUUUGCUCUGAGGUGAGGUAAACGUUGCAGUGUUUCCAUCAAGAUGGGAAACAGAAACGAAGAGAGGCUAUGAGCACGUGCCUAAGAGAGUCCAUUCUUUCCCCACCCUAGUUCCCGGGGCCUCUCCACCAGUUUU
rnacentral:lncRNA from 10 species